rnacentral:rRNA from 1 species
GCCGCGUGCAGGAAGACUGCCCUAUGGGUUGUAAACUGCUUUUACAGAGGAAGAACCACCCCCACGUGUGGGGGUUUGACGGUACUCUGCGAAUAAGGAUCGGCUAACUCCGUGCCAGCAGCCGCGGUAAUACGGAGGAUCCAAGCGUUAUCCGGAAUCAUUGGGUUUAAAGGGUCCGUAGGCGGGCAGUUAAGUCAGUGGUGAAAGUCUUCCGCUCAACGGGAGAACUGCCAUUGAUACUGAUUGUCUUGAGUUAUUAUGAAGUGGUUAGAAUGAGUAGUGUAGCGGUGAAAUGCAUAGAUAUUACUCAGAAUACCGAUUGCGAAGGCAGAUCACUAAUAAUAUACUGACGCUGAUGGACGAAAGCGUAGGUAGCGAACAGGAUUAGAUACCCUGGUAGUCUACGCCGUAAACGAUGGUUACUAGCUGUUCGGCCCAAUUGAGGGCUGAGUGGUUAAGCGAAAGUGAUAAGUAACCCACCUGGGGAGUACGUUCGCAAGAAUGAAACUCAAAGGAAUUGACGGGGGCCCGCACAAGCGGUGGAGCAUGUGGUUUAAUUCGAUGAUACGCGAGGAACCUUACCAGGGCUUAAAUGUAGUCUGACAGGUCUGGAAACAGACUUUUCUUCGGACAGAUUACAAGGUGCUGCAUGGUUGUCGUCAGCUCGUGCCGUGAGGUGUCAGGUUAAGUCCUAUAACGAGCGCAACCCCUGUGGUUAGUUGCCAGCGAGUAAUGUCGGGAACUCUAGCCAGACUGCCGGUGCAAACCGCGAGGAA